GAUGAACGCUGGCGGCGUGCCUAACACAUGCAAGUCGAGCGGCAGCGCGGGGUGCUUGCUCCUUUGCUGUUAGCGGCGGACGGCUGAGUAACGCGUGGGUACGCUCCCUAUAGUGCGGGAUAACUUCCCGAAAGGGUGGCUUAUUACGCGUAUAAUCUUUGGAUCGAAUGAUUUAUACGCUUUGGGAGCGCCUCGCGUCGGAUUUGGUAGUUGGUGAGGUAAUGGCGCACCAAGCCGACGAUCCGUAGCUGGUCUGAGAGGAUGACCAGCCAGACUGGAACUGAGACACGGUACAGACUCCUACGGGAGGCAGCAGUGAGGAAUCUUCCACAAUGGGCGAAAGCCUGAUGGAGCAACGCCGCGUGCAGGACGAAGGCCUUCGGGUUGUAAACUGCUUUUAUAAGUGAGGAAUAUGACGGUAACUUAUGAAUAAGGAUCGGCUAACUACGUG
rnacentral:rRNA from 1 species